GCCAGGCAUGGUGGUGCAUGCCUGUAGUCCCAGCUACUCAGGAGGCUGAGACAGGAGAAUCGCUUGAACCUGGGAGGUGGAGGUUGCAGUGAGCUGAGAUCGUGCCACUGCACUCCAGCUUGGGUGACAGAGUGAGACCCUGUCUCAA
rnacentral:SRP_RNA from 2 species